rnacentral:tRNA from 1 species
GGUGGCUCAGUGGUAGAGUGCUUGCCUUGCAUGCAUGAGGACCUGGGUUCGAUUCCCCAGUACCA